rnacentral:rRNA from 1 species
AAGUCGUAACAAGGUAUCCGUAGGUGAACCUGCGGAUGGAUCAUUAACAGUAUUAUCAUAUACGUUUAACACUUGUGAGCCGUAUGAGAGUCUCUCUCUCAAUUUAUUAUACUAUUAGACUGAAACCACUUUAUAUAACAAUUAUAAAACUUUUAGCAACGGAUCUCUGGGCUCUCGCAAACGAUGAAGAACGCAGCGAAUUGCGAAAAGUAAUGUGAAUUGCAUAUACCGUGAAUCAUCAAAUCUUUGAACGCACCUUGCACCAUUGGGAACUCCCGAUGGUACUGUCUGUUUGAGUAUCAAUCAACACCUGCCCAAACUUUGCUUUUAACCGAGCCAUACUUUGCAUAAUCGAUUGGAUAGUUUUAUUACUACCGAUUUAGAUACAUAGUCUAGCCACGCUAGUCAACAGAGUCUAACACUUCUGAGUGGACGCAAUGUAGCAGCCAUGACUGGGGGCUUCUGAAGCCUUUAACUUUGAUCUCAAAUCAGACGAGGAUACCCGCUGAACUUAA